rnacentral:rRNA from 1 species
GUUGCUACCAGGUAAUGCUGGGCACUCUGGUGAGACUGCCCGGUUAACGGGAGGAAGGUGGGACGACGUCAAGUCAUCAUGGCCCUUACGCCUAGGGCUACACACGUACUACAAUGGCGCAUACAAAGGGCAGCGAUACCGCGAGGUGGAGCCAAUCCCAAAAAGUGCGUACCCAGUCCGGAUUGCAGUCUGCAACUCGACUGCAUGAAGUUGGAAUCGCUAGUAAUUCGAGAUCAGCAUGCUCGGGUGAAUGCGUUCCCGGCCUU